rnacentral:tRNA from 1 species
CGGGUAUAGUUUAGUGGUAAAACGCCUGACUUCCAAUCAGGCGACGGGAGUUCGAUUCUCCCUACCCGC